CCUACGGGAGGCAGCAGUGAGGAAUAUUGGUCAAUGGUCGGGAGACUGAACCAGCCAAGCCGCGUGAGGGAUGAAGGUACAGAGUAUCGUAAACCUCUUUUGUCAGGGAACAAAGGCGGGGACGUGUCCCCGGCUGAGUGUACCUGAAGAAAAAGCAUCGGCUAACUCCGUGCCAGCAGCCGCGGUAAUACGGAGGAUGCGAGCGUUAUCCGGAUUUAUUGGGUUUAAAGGGUGCGCAGGCGGUCUGUUAAGUCAGCGGUCAAAGCCCGGGGCUCAACCCCGGCCCGCCGUUGAAACUGGCAGUCUCGAGUUGGAGAGAAGUAGGCGGAAUGCGCGGUGUAGCGGUGAAAUGCAUAGAUAUCGCGCAGAACUCCGAUUGCGAAGGCAGCAUGCCGGCUCCACACUGACGCUGAGGCACGAAAGCGUGGGUAUCGAACAGGAUUAGAUACCCCUGUAGUC
rnacentral:rRNA from 1 species